GACGAACGCUGGCGGCGUGCCUAAUACAUGCAAGUAGGACGCAGUUGCGAACGGGUGAGUAACGCGUAGGUAACUACCUAUUACAGGGGGGUAACAAUUGGAAACGAUAGCUCAUAUCGCAUACUAGUAGAUGGACCUGCGUUGUAUUCGCUAGUAGGUAGGGUAAGGGCCUACCUAGGCAACGUUACAUAGCUGAGCAGGAGGGGUGGACGGGCAAAAUGGGACUGGGAAACGGGCCAAACUCCUACGGGAAGGAGCAGGAGGGAAUCGUCGGCAAAGGGGGGAAAGCUGACCGAGCAACGGCGGGUUGGUGAAAAAAGUUUUCCGAUCGUAAAGCUCUGUUGUUAAGGGAGCGGUACUUAACCAGAAAGGGACGGCUAACUACGUGCCAGCAGCCGCGGUAAUAC
rnacentral:rRNA from 1 species